AUUAGUGGAAAUGACAGACAACAUAGCCAACUGCAAGUAGGUUGUUAUUAGCAAUGGUCAUUUGCCAGAAACUGUCUGCUCCCAGCUGACACCUUACUUAGGUUUUUGCUGUUAAAUGAGGAUCUUGUGUAGGCAACAGAAGAAAACAUUGAGCUCAGCGCUGCUUUGCUUGGAGCCAGUUGGAACAUUGUAAUAGAAAACAAUGCAGUCAAACUAAGGCUAGCUUGUGUUGCAUCUACUUAGGACACAUAAAACAAAUAACGUAAUUUCUUUGAAAAGAUUAACUGUAUUCAGAAUACCACCAAUUUAAACUGUUUACUGUUACUGAAUACAGUUACUCAUAUUUUGUAUUUUAAUUACAUAACUAAUUAAGGGGCUUGUAUUUUAAUUACAUAACUAAGCUACCAUUACUUCCUUACAGAAGUGUAUGGCAUUCACUUGACAAAUAAAAAAAGCCCUGUUUUUCUGAGUAAUUCUUUCCCUGUUUUUUUGGGUAAUUUGUUUUCUGUUUUUCAGGGUAUUUCUUUGUUUUUUUGUGGUAAUUUUUUUGUGGUAUUUUUUUUUCCUGAACAAGGAGACGAGAUACUUCAAAAUCUCACGAGAAGAUCCCACCUGGCACCUGCAAGUGAAACGUGUAUGGGCAUGAUUUCAGUUGUCAGUAACAUUAAGUUUUUUUCCAUCAUGCUGGACAUUGUUACUCAUCACAAAUUUGUCAGCUAACGUUUUUACAACCUGUUACUAACCUAACCUGUUACAUUGAUCGAUAGGCCUACACUAGAAGGAUGCAGUUGAAAACAUAGCUAGAUUAUCAUACCCUGUGUGUAACUAAUUACGUGCCUUACCCUUAUUGAUCCCGUAGUUGAAACUGUCUAGGAGCAGGAGCACAGAUGCAAAAUACAUCCAUGAGCAGGAGUCACCAUGGAUGCAGGGGUCACUUGCAGGUGCCAGGUGGGAGCUUCUCGCGAGAUUUUGAAGUAUCUCGUCUCCUCGUUCAGGAAAAAAAAAUUACCUCAAUAAACAGAAAAAAAAUACCCAAAAAAAAAACAGAAAAAACUUACCACAAAAACAGGAUAAAAAUUACUCAGAAAAACAGAAGAAAUUACACCAAAAAACAGAAAAAUAAAAAAAUUACUCUAAAAAACAGGGCUUUUUUUAUUUGUCAAGUGAAUGCAAUACACUUCCGUACUUCCUCACGCUGCCAAUAUUUGACAAGUAAAAAGGCAAAGUCAAACAAAGAAAAUUUUAUUUAUUUCUAUACACCAAAAUCACAAAUUAGCCUCAGAGGGCUUUGCAUAUAUACACACACCAUAGGCCACCUCAGAGCAUCCCUGAAUGCAAUAACUGAGAAAUAUUAAAAUCAGCUGAAAAUAAAUGCAAGUCAUAUAUGCUCCUAUCAGUCUAUCAGGAAAUCUUUCCCACAAAACAAACAGGUACUGACAGACAGCUUGUAGGUACAUUAAGGCUUUACUUAAAGAGCAAGUCCCAUCAGUAGUAUUAAAGAGCAAUACUAAUGUCAGCCUCUUUGAACCAGAUUAUGUGUGAAUGUCACUGUAUAUAUUAACAGAACCUUAUACUAUGAGGUUAUUAUUAUUAUUAUAUUACAAUUCAAUUUUAUUCUACACAGUGGUAGCGAAGAGAAAAGCCUUCACCAUUCAGUUUAUACAUUUGCAGGUAAAUCUUGAAGCUGUUCAAACCACUAGCUGAGCCGCCAUGUAGCCUGAAGAAUGACGUAAGGACUGCAUUUUACCACACCAGCUCAGACAACGAGCCAAGAUGUGUGUGUGUGCUUGUAGUAAUAUGAGGGCUGUGGUUUCUGGUGGUCAUGUCCACAGGCUGUGAUAAACUGAUGAUACAUGAACGAGCGCUUGAUGUAGCUACAGGUUAAAACAAAAA